rnacentral:tRNA from 1 species
AAUAAAAUGCCUGAUAAAAGGACUAUUCUGAUAGAAUAAAAUAUGUAGUAAAUUAUCUACUUUUAUUA